rnacentral:rRNA from 1 species
CAGUCGCCGCGGUAAUACGGAGGGUGCAAGCGUUAAUCGGAAUUACUGGGCGUAAAGCGCACGCAGGCGGUCUGACAAGUCAGAUGUGAAAUCCCCGGGCUUAACCUGGGAACUGCAUUUGAAACUGUCAGGCUGGAGUCUUGUAGAGGGGGGUGGAAUUCCAGGUGUAGCGGUGAAAUGCGUAGAGAUCUGGAGGAAUACCGGUGGCGAAGGCGGCCCCCUGGACAAAGACUGACGCUCAGGUGCGAAAGCGUGGGGAGCAAACAGGAUUAGAUACCCCUGUAGUCCCUGUCUCUUUACA